AAGUCGUAACAAGGUUUCCGUAGGUGAACCUGCGGAAGGAUCAUUAAUGAGCCUGGGUGCUUCGGCGCCCGACCUCCAACCCUUUGUUUACCUUACCACUGUUGCCUCGGCGCUAGGGGGAAACCCCUUCGCCGGUGGCCAAUCUAUUAAACCCUUUUUUAAACCCAGUCCUCUGAGAAUUUAUUAAAUAACUUCAAAACUUUCAACAACGGAUCUCUUGGUUCUG
rnacentral:misc_RNA from 1 species